rnacentral:rRNA from 1 species
UUAAGCGACUAAGCGUACACGGUGGAUGCCUAGGCAGUCAGAGGCGAUGAAGGGCGUGCUAAUCUGCGAAAAGCGUCGGUAAGGUGAUAUGAACCGUUAUAACCGACGAUACCCGAAUGGGGAAACCCAGUGCAAUUCGUUGCACUAUUGCAUGGUGAAUACAUAGCCAUGCAAGGCGAACCGGGGGAACUGAAACAUCUAAGUACCCCGAGGAAAAGAAAUCAACCGAGAUUCCCCCAGUAGCGGCGAGCGAACGGGGAGGAGCCCAGAACCUGAAUCAGCGUAUGUGUUAGUGGAAGCGUCUGGAAAGUCGCACGGUACAGGGUGAUAGUCCCGUACACAAAAAUGCAUAUGUUGUGAGUUCGAUGAGUAGGGCGGGACACGUGACAUCCUGUCUGAAUAUGGGGGGACCAUCCUCCAAGGCUAAAUACUCCUGACUGACCGAUAGUGAACCAGUACCGUGAGGGAAAGGCGAAAAGAACCCCGGCGAGGGGAGUGAAACAGAACCUGAAACCGUGUACGUACAAGCAGUGGGAGCACCUUCGUGGUGUGACUGCGUACCUUUUGUAUAAUGGGUCAGCGACUUAUAUUUUGUAGCAAGGUUAACCGAAUAGGGGAGCCGUAGGGAAACCGAGUCUUAACUGGGCGAAUAGUUGCAAGGUAUAGACCCGAAACCCGGUGAUCUAGCCAUGGGCAGGUUGAAGGUUGGGUAACACUAACUGGAGGACCGAACCGACUAAUGUUGAAAAAUUAGCGGAUGACUUGUGGCUGGGGGUGAAAGGCCAAUCAAACCGGGAGAUAGCUGGUUCUCCCCGAAAGCUAUUUAGGUAGCGCCUCGUGAACUCAUCUUCGGGGGUAGAGCACUGUUUCGGCUAGGGGGUCAUCCCGACUUACCAAACCGAUGCAAACUCCGAAUACCGAAGAAUGUUAUCACGGGAGACACACGGCGGGUGCUAACGUCCGUCGUGAAGAGGGAAACAACCCAGACCGCCAGCUAAGGUCCCAAAGUCAUGGUUAAGUGGGAAACGAUGUGGGAAGGCACAGACAGCCAGGAUGUUGGCUUAGAAGCAGCCAUCAUUUAAAGAAAGCGUAAUAGCUCACUGGUCGAGUCGGCCUGCGCGGAAGAUGUAACGGGGCUAAACCAUGCACCGAAGCUGCGGCAGCGAACGUAUCACUUAAAACGCUUAACGUGACGGCAAAGCCGGCAUGUUAAAGCCACACUAAACGUUGAGUUGGCCGAUGUGCUGACAAACGAACAGGCGUUUUAAGGAUACGUUCGUUGGGUAGGGGAGCGUUCUGUAAGCCGUUGAAGGUGACCUGUGAGGGUUGCUGGAGGUAUCAGAAGUGCGAAUGCUGACAUAAGUAACGAUAAUGCGGGUGAAAAACCCGCACGCCGGAAGACCAAGGGUUCCUGUCCAACGUUAAUCGGGGCAGGGUGAGUCGACCCCUAAGGCGAGGCUGAAAAGCGUAGUCGAUGGGAAACAGGUUAAUAUUCCUGUACUUGGUGUUACUGCGAAGGGGGGACGGAGAAGGCUAGGCUAGCCGGGCGACGGUUGUCCCGGUUUAAGCAUGUAGGCGGAGUGACCAGGUAAAUCCGGUUGCUUAUCAACGCUGAGGUGUGAUGACGAUGCACUACGGUGCAGAAGUAGUUGAUGCCAUGCUUCCAGGAAAAGCCUCUAAGCAUCAGGUAACAUGAAAUCGUACCCCAAACCGACACAGGUGGUCAGGUAGAGAAUACUCAGGCGCUUGAGAGAACUCGGGUGAAGGAACUAGGCAAAAUGGUGCCGUAACUUCGGGAGAAGGCACGCUGGCGCUAGGUGAAGAGACUUGCUCUCGGAGCUGAAGCCAGUCGCAGAUACCAGCUGGCUGCAACUGUUUAAUAAAAACACAGCACUGUGCAAACACGAAAGUGGACGUAUACGGUGUGACGCCUGCCCGGUGCUGGAAGGUUAAUUGAUGGGGUCAGCCGCAAGGCGAAGCUCUUGAUCGAAGCCCCAGUAAACGGCGGCCGUAACUAUAACGGUCCUAAGGUAGCGAAAUUCCUUGUCGGGUAAGUUCCGACCUGCACGAAUGGCGUAAUGAUGGCCAGGCUGUCUCCACCCGAGACUCAGUGAAAUUGAACUCGCUGUGAAGAUGCAGUGUACCCGCGGCAAGACGGAAAGACCCCGUGAACCUUUACUAUAGCUUGACACUGAACAUUGAGCCUUGAUGUGUAGGAUAGGUGGGAGGCAUAGAAGUGUGGACGCCAGUCUGCAUGGAGCCAACCUUGAAAUACCACCCUUUAAUGUUUGAUGUUCUAACUCGGCCCCGUAAUCCGGGGUGAGGACAGUGUCUGGUGGGUAGUUUGACUGGGGCGGUCUCCUCCCAAAGAGUAACGGAGGAGCACGAAGGUUAGCUAAUCACGGUCGGACAUCGUGAGGUUAGUGCAAAGGCAUAAGCUAGCUUGACUGCGAGAGUGACGGCUCGAGCAGGUACGAAAGUAGGUCUUAGUGAUCCGGUGGUUCUGAAUGGAAGGGCCAUCGCUCAACGGAUAAAAGGUACUCCGGGGAUAACAGGCUGAUACCGCCCAAGAGUUCAUAUCGACGGCGGUGUUUGGCACCUCGAUGUCGGCUCAUCACAUCCUGGGGCUGAAGUAGGUCCCAAGGGUAUGGCUGUUCGCCAUUUAAAGUGGUACGCGAGCUGGGUUUAGAACGUCGUGAGACAGUUCGGUCCCUAUCUGCCGUGGGCGUUGGAAGAUUGAGAGGGGCUGCUCCUAGUACGAGAGGACCGGAGUGGACGAAUCACUGGUGUUCGGGUUGUCAUGCCAAUGGCAUUGCCCGGUAGCUAAAUUCGGAAGAGAUAACCGCUGAAAGCAUCUAAGCGGGAAACUUGCCUCGAGAUGAGUCUUCCCUGGGGCUUUAAGCCCCCUGAAGGAACGUUAAAGACGAUGACGUUGAUAGGCUGGGUGUGUAAGUGCAGCGAUGCAUUGAGCUAACCAGUACUAAUGAACCGUGAGGCUUAACCUU